rnacentral:rRNA from 1 species
UACGUAGGUGGCAAGCGUUGUCCGGAUUUACUGGGCGUAAAGAGCGCGCAGGCGGUCGUUCAAGUCGAGUGUGAAAGCCCCCGGCUCAACUGGGGAGGGUCACUCGAUACUGAUCGACUCGAAGGCAGAAGAGGGAUGCGGAAUUCCAGGUGUAGCGGUGAAAUGCGUAGAUAUCUGGAGGAACACCGGUGGCGAAGGCGGCAUCCUGGACCGGCAUUGACGCUGAGGAGCGAAAGCCAGGGGAGCAAACGGG